GGUGGUGCAUGGCCGUUCUUAGUUGGUGGAGUGAUUUGUCUGGUUAAUUCCGUUAACGAACGAGACCUUAGCCUGCUAACUAGUCGCGGCGAUCUCGAUCGUCGUCGGCUUCUUAGAGGGACUUUGUGGCUCUAAACACAAGGAAGUUUGAGGCAAUAACAGGUCUGUGAUGCCCUUAGAUGUCCUGGGCCGCACGCGUGCUACACUGACGCCUACAGCGAGUACUUCCCAGCCCCGAGAGGCGGCUGGUAAUCAGCAAUAGGCGUCGUGAUGGGGAUAGAUCUUUGGAAUUCUGGAUCUUGAACGAGGAAUGCCUAGUAAGCGCGGGUCAUUAGCCCGCGCUGAUUAAGUCCCUGCCCUU
rnacentral:rRNA from 1 species